UCGAGCGGACCGACGGGAGCUUGCUCCCUUAGGUCAGCGGCGGACGGGUGAGUAACACGUGGGUAACCUGCCUGUAAGACUGGGAUAACUCCGGGAAACCGGGGCUAAUACCGGAUGCUUGAUUGAACCGCAUGGUUCAAUCAUAAAAGGUGGCUUUUAGCUACCACUUGCAGAUGGACCCGCGGCGCAUUAGCUAGUUGGUGAGGUAACGGCUCACCAAGGCGACGAUGCGUAGCCGACCUGAGAGGGUGAUCGGCCACACUGGGACUGAGACACGGCCCAGACUCCUACGGGAGGCAGCAGUAGGGAAUCUUCCGCAAUGGACGAAAGUCUGACGGAGCAACGCCGCGUGAGUGAUGAAGGUUUUCGGAUCGUAAAACUCUGUUGUUAGGGAAGAACAAGUACCGUUCGAAUAGGGCGGCACCUUGACGGUACCUAACCAGAAAGCCACGGCUAACUACGUGCCAGCAGCCGCGGUAAUACGUAGGUGGCAAGCGUUGUCCGGAAUUAUUGGGCGUAAAGCGCGCGCAGGCGGUUUCUUAAGUCUGAUGUGAAAGCCCCCGGCUCAACCGGGGAGGGUCAUUGGAAACUGGGGAACUUGAGUGCAGAAGAGGAGAGUGGAAUUCCACGUGUAGCGGUGAAAUGCGUAGAGAUGUGGAGGAACACCAGUGGCGAAGGCGACUCUCUGGUCUGUAACUGACGCUGAGGCGCGAAAGCGUGGGGAGCGAACAGGAUUAGAUA
rnacentral:rRNA from 1 species